rnacentral:rRNA from 1 species
GAUGAACGCUGGCGGCGUGCCUAAUACAUGCAAGUCGAGCGAACGGACGAGAAGCUUGCUUCUCUGAUGUUAGCGGCGGACGGGUGAGUAAAACGUGGAUAACCUACCUAUAAGACUGGGAUAACUUCGGGAAACCGGAGCUAAAACCGGAUAAUAUUUUGAACCGCAUGGUUCAAAAGUGAAAGACGGUCUUGCUGUCACUUAUAGAUGGAUCCGCGCUGCAUUAGCUAGUUGGUAAGGUAACGGCUUACCAAGGCAACGAUGCAUAGCCGACCUGAGAGAGUGAUCGGCCACACUGGAACUGAGACACGGUCCAGACUCCUACGGGAGGCAGCAGUAGGGAAUCUUCCGCAAUGGGCGAAAGCCUGACGGAGCAACGCCGCGUGAGUGAUGAAGGUCUUCGGAUCGUAAAACUCUGUUAUUAGGGAAGAACAUAUGUGUAAGUAACUGUGCACAUCUUGACGGUACCUAAUCAGAAAGCCACGGCUAACUACGUG